rnacentral:rRNA from 1 species
AUUGAACGCUGGCGGCAGGCCUAACACAUGCAAGUCGAGCGAGCGGCGCACGGGUGCGUAACGCGUAUGCAAUCUACCUUGUACAGAGGGAUAGCCCAGAGAAAUUUGGCUUAAUACCUCCUUGUACAUUAUGUGCAUGCUUCCCAUUAGUUAGUUGGUGUGGUAACGGCACACCAAGACGAUGAUGGGGAGGGGUCCUGAGAGGGAGAUCCCCGACACUGGUACUGAGACACGGACCAGACUCCGACGGGAGGCAGCAGUGAGGAAUAUUGGGCAAUGGAGGCAACUCUGAACCAGCCAUGCGGCGUGCAGGAUAACGGUCUAUGGAUUGUAAACUGCUUUUAUACGGGAAGCGGUACCGAAAGAAUAAGGAUCGGCUAACUCCGUGCCAGCAGCCGCGGUAAUAG